UGAAUGACUCCCGGCAAUGGAUAUCUUGGCUCUCGUGUCCAUUAAAAACGUAACGAAAUGCCACACUUGGUGUGAAUUGCAAAAUCCCCUGAAUCAUCCAGUCUUUGAAUGCAAGUUGCGCUCCAGGCCAUUAAGUCCAAAGCACCUCUGCUUGGGCGUCAUGC
rnacentral:rRNA from 1 species